rnacentral:rRNA from 1 species
UACAGAGGGUGCAAGCGUUGUUCGGAAUUACUGGGCGUAAAGCGCACGUAGGCGGUCUUUUAAGUCGGGGGUGAAGUCCUGGAGCUCAACUCCAGAACUGCCUUCGAUACUGGAAGACUUGAGUCCGGGAGAGGUGAGUGGAACUGCGAGUGUAGAGGUGAAAUUCGUAGAUAUUCGCAAGAACACCAGUGGCGAAGGCGGCUCACUGGCCCGGUACUGACGCUGAGGUGCGAAAGCGUGGGGAGCAAACAGG